CCCCUCUCAGGAUCGCACCUGGAGAGUUUUCAGUACUCUACCAGUAUUGAUUACAGGAGGGGGAGUCAAGCAGAGGCACACCCAUUCCAUUUCUAGCUUGGGCUGCGGCUAGUGAGUGGAAGGGAAUCUGCUACUAGG